GACGAACGCUGGCGGCGUGCCUAAUACAUGCAAGUCGAACGAGUGGCGGACGGGUGAGUAAUGUCUGGGAAACUGCCCGAUGGAGGGGGAUAACUACUGGAAACGGUAGCUAAUACCGCAUACCAUCGGAUGUGCCCAGAUGGGAUUAGCUAGUAGGUGGGGUAACGGCUCACCUAGGCGACGAACACUAGCGGGUCUGAGAGGAGGACCAGCUACACUGGAACUGAGACACGGUCCAGAUUCCUACGGGAGGCAGCAGGGGGGAAUAUUGCACAAUGGGCGCAAGCCUGAUGCAGCCAUGCCGCGUGUAUGAAGAAGGCCUUCGGGUUGUAAAGUACUUUCAGCUAGGAGGCGUUACUCGCAGAAGAAGCACCGGCUAACUCCGUGCCAGCAGCCGCGGUAAUAC
rnacentral:rRNA from 1 species